UACGUAGGGUGCGAGCGUUGUCCGGAAUUACUGGGCGUAAAGAGCUCGUAGGUGGUUUGUCGCGUUGUUCGUGAAAACUCACAGCUCAACUGUGGGCGUGCGGGCGAUACGGGCAGACUGGAGUACUGCAGGGGAGACUGGAAUUCCUGGUGUAGCGGUGGAAUGCGCAGAUAUCAGGAGGAACACCGGUGGCGAAGGCGGUUCUCUGGGCCUGUACUGACGCUGAGGAGCGAAAGCGUGGGGAGCGAACAGG
rnacentral:rRNA from 1 species